rnacentral:rRNA from 1 species
GUAAUGUAUAGUUAAUCUGCCCUAUGCUGGAGGACAACAGUUAGAAAUGACUGCUAAUACUCCAUACUCCUUCUUAACACAAGUUAAGUUGGGAAAGUUUUUUCGGCAUAGGAUGAGACUAUAUUGUAUCAGCUAGUUGGUGAGGUAAUGGCUCACCAAGGCUAUGACGCAUAACUGGUCUGAGAGGAUGAUCAGUCACACUGGAACUGAGACACGGUCCAGACUCCUACGGGAGGCAGCAGUAGGGAAUAUUGCUCAAUGGGCGAAAGCCUGAAGCAGCAACGCCGCGUGGAGGAUGACACUUUUCGGAGCGUAAACUCCUUUUCUUAGGGAAGAAAUUUGACGGUACCUAAGGAAUAAGCACCGGCUAACUCCGUGCCAGCAGCCGCGGUAAUACGGAGGGUGCAAGCGUUACUCGGAAUCACUGGGCGUAAAGGACGCGUAGGCGGAUUAUCAAGUCUUUUGUGAAAUCUAAUGGCUCAACCAUUAAACUGCUUGAGAAACUGAUAAUCUAGAGUGAGGGAGAGGCAGAUGGAAUUGGUGGUGUAGGGGUAAAAUCCGUAGAGAUCACCAGGAAUACCCAUUGCGAAGGCGAUCUGCUAGAACUCAACUGACGCUAAUGCGUGAAAGCGUGGGGAGCAAACAGGAUUAGAUACCCUGGUAGUCCACGCCCUAAACGAUGUAUACUAGUUGUUGCUGUGCUAGUCAUGGCAGUAAUGCACCUAACGGAUUAAGUAUACCGCCUGGGGAGUACGGUCGCAAGAUUAAAACUCAAAGGAAUAGACGGGGACCCGCACAAGCGGUGGAGCAUGUGGUUUAAUUCGAAGAUACGCGAAGAACCUUACCUGGGCUUGAUAUCCUAAGAACCUUGUAGAGAUACGAGGGUGCUAGCUUGCUAGAACUUAGUGACAGGUGCUGCACGGCUGUCGUCAGCUCGUGUCGUGAGAUGUUCGGUUAAGUCCGGCAACGAGCGCAACCCACGUAUUUAGUUGCUAACAGUUUGGCUGAGCACUCUAAAUAUACUGCCUUCGUAAGGAGGAGGAAGGUGUGGACGACGUCAAGUCAUUCAUGGCCC